CCAACACCCCAAGUUAUCUACCAAGCAACAUUUCAAGCAACUUUUCCUCCUCAAUCCAAUAUGAAUUCUGUAGUCAGUUUCUGAAAUACUAGUAAAAAUUACCUCAGUACAAAGUGUUAGGAUGGUGUCGGGAGUACCCUGUUAGAUGCAGGCACCUGCAGCUGCUGGAUAAACGGUGCGCUGUGUAAGAGCGCCAGGUCUACUGCGUUUUUUAGCCAGGCGCAGCUAGCAGCUUUUGUAGCGCAUGGAGAUCCCAGCAGCCUUUCGUGACACCCAGGCAUCGGCCGGAGAAUAUCCUGGCAUAGCUCAAACCUCGAAUGAAGAGGCAGUCAAACACAGUCCCAUUCACUCCCCAGCGCGAGAUCUGUAAAGGGCCCUUCACCAACCUCCAAAAGCCUCAAUUGGGGUUUCGAACAGCGAGCAGAGGGUAAUGGGGGGGAAGGCAGGACGCGAUUGAAACUGUGCAUAUGGCUUAGCACGCUUCUUGGCAAGUGUUUCGUUGCCCGUAAAUUCCGCUCAUAUCUAAGACACAUGAACAACAUGUGAUAUUCUGAGAAACGCAAAGGCAUAGUAUUUUCACUUGGAACUAACUUGACAUGGAUCAUUUUACUCCGUGUUCAUGUGGAAGACCUUUGCAGUUAGGCAGGUAACUGGUAACUGGUUAACACACCGAUGAUAUCGCCGACCAUACAUCGACGACUCCCUGUUGAAAAUGCACUAAAGACUAAUAUACAAAUUAGACAAUCACCCAGAUGAGGCCGUGUUCGAACAGGAUUCGGACAACAACUCGUAACAGCAGGUACGACCCUUCCUUCAUAAAGCAGUUUAUCUGGAGCUUGGUACAUGAUAGAAAA
rnacentral:lncRNA from 1 species